UACGUAUGGGGCGAGCGUUGUUCGGAAUUACUGGGCGUAAAGGGUGCGUAGGUGGGAUGUUAAGUUGGAUGUGAAAUCUUGCGGCUCAACCGCAAAACGGCAUCCAAAACUGAUAUUCUUGAGUACGGAAGAGGAGAGCGGAAUUCCUAGUGUAGGGGUAAAAUCUGAAGAUAUUAGGAAGAACACCAGCGGCGAAGGCGGUUCUCAAUUCUGAUACUGACACUGAAGCACGAAAGCCAGGGGAG
rnacentral:rRNA from 1 species